AUUGAACGCUGGCGGCAUGCCUUACACAUGCAAGUCGAACGGUAACGGGCCUUCGGGUGCCGACGAGUGGCGAACGGGUGAGUAAUGUAUCGGAACGUACCUUUCAGUGGGGGAUAACGUAGCGAAAGUUACGCUAAUACCGCAUAUUCUGUGAGCAGGAAAGCAGGGGAUCGCAAGACCUUGCGCUGAUUGAGCGGCCAAUAUCAGAUUAGCUAGUUGGUGAGGUAAAGGCUCACCAAGGCGACGAUCUGUAGCGGGUCUGAGAGGAUGAUCCGCCACACUGGAACUGAGACACGGUCCAGACUCCUACGGGAGGCAGCAGUGGGGAAUUUUGGACAAUGGGGGCAACCCUGAUCCAGCCAUGCCGCGUGAGUGAAGAAGGCCUUCGGGUUGUAAAGCUCUUUCGGCCGGGAAGAAAUCGUAUGGGUUAAUACCCUGUGCGGAUGACGGUACCGGCAUAAGAAGCACCGGCUAACUACGUG
rnacentral:rRNA from 1 species